UAGGGAAUCUUCGGCAAUGGACGAAAGUCUGACCGAGCAACGCCGCGUGAGUGAAGAAGGUUUUCGGAUCGUAAAACUCUGUUGUUAGAGAAGAACGUUGCAUAGAGUGGAAAAUUAUGCAAGUGACGGUAUCUAACCAGAAAGGGACGGCUAACUACGUGCCAGCAGCCGCGGUAAUACGUAGGUCCCGAGCGUUGUCCGGAUUUAUUGGGCGUAAAGCGAGCGCAGGUGGUUUAAUAAGUCUGAUGUAAAAGGCAGUGGCUCAACCAUUGUGUGCAUUGGAAACUGUUAGACUUGAGUGCAGUAGAGGAGAGUGGAAUUCCAUGUGUAGCGGUGAAAUGCGUAGAUAUAUGGAGGAACACCGGUGGCGAAAGCGGCUCUCUGGACUGUCACUGACACUGAGGCUCGAAAGCGUGGGUAGCAAACAGGAUUAGAUACCCUGGUAGUCCACGCCGUAAACGAUGAGUGCUAGUUGUUU
rnacentral:rRNA from 1 species